CCCUUAGAUGUUCUGGGCUGCACGCGCGCUACACUGAUGCACUCAAAGAGUUUACGACCUUGCCCGAUAGGGUUGGGUAAUCUUUUUAAAAUGCAUCGUGAUGGGGAUAGAUUAUUGCAAUUAUUAAUCUUCAACGAGGAAUUCCUAGUAAGCGCGAGUCAUCAGCUCGUGCUGAUUACGUCCCUGCCCUUUGUACACACCGCCCGUCGCUCCUACCGAUUGAGUGCUCAGGUGAAUAAUUCGGACUGCAGCAAUGUUUGGAUCCCGAACGUUGCAGCGGAAAGUUUAGUGAACCUUAUCACUUAGAGGAAGGAGAAGUCGUAACA
rnacentral:rRNA from 1 species